rnacentral:rRNA from 2 species
UGAUUGAUUUUGGUCGCCAACGAGUGGCGGACGGGUGAGUAACACGUAGGUAACCUGCCCAGAAGCGGGGGACAACAUUUGGAAACAGAUGCUAAUACCGCAUAACAACGUUGUUCGCAUGAACAACGCUUAAAAGAUGGCUUCUCGCUAUCACUUCUGGAUGGACCUGCGGUGCAUUAGCUUGUUGGUGGGGUAACGGCCUACCAAGGCGAUGAUGCAUAGCCGAGUUGAGAGACUGAUCGGCCACAAUGGGACUGAGACACGGCCCAUACUCCUACGGGAGGCAGCAGUAGGGAAUCUUCCACAAUGGGCGCAAGCCUGAUGGAGCAACACCGCGUGAGUGAAGAAGGGUUUCGGCUCGUAAAGCUCUGUUGUUAAAGAAGAACACGUAUGAGAGUAACUGUUCAUACGUUGACGGUAUUUAACCAGAAAGUCACGGCUAACUACGUGCCAGCAGCCGCGGUAAUACGUAGGUGGCAAGCGUUAUCCGGAUUUAUUGGGCGUAAAGAGAGUGCAGGCGGUUUUCUAAGUCUGAUGUGAA